UGGGGAAUCUUGCGCAAUGGGCGAAAGCCUGACGCAGCAACGCCGCGUGGAGGAAGAAGGCCUUCGGGUUGUAAACUCCUGUCAGGGGGAACGAAGGCACCUGGGUUAAUAGCCCAAGGGUUGACGGUACCCCCAGAGGAAGCCACGGCUAACUACGUGCCAGCAGCCGCGGUAAUACGUAGGUGGCGAGCGUUGUCCGGAAUCAUUGGGCGUAAAGAGCGCGUAGGCGGCUUGUCAGGUCUGACGUGAAAUGCCGGGGCUUAACCCCGGGCGUGCAUCAGAAACCGGCUUGCUAGAGUCUGGGGGAGGGAAGUGGAAUUCCUGGUGUAGCGGUGAAAUGCGCAGAUAUCAGGAGGAACACCGGUAGCGAAGGCUGCUUCCUGGAACAGUACUGACGCUGAGGCGCGAAAG
rnacentral:rRNA from 1 species